rnacentral:rRNA from 1 species
AUUGAACGCUGGCGGCAGGCCUAACACAUGCAAGUCGAACGGUAACAGGAAACAGCUUGCUGUUUCGCUGACGAGUGGCGGACGGGUGAGUAAUGUCUGGGAAACUGCCUGAUGGAGGGGGAUAACUACUGGAAACGGUAGCUAAUACCGCAUAACGUCGCAAGACCAAAGAGGGGGACCCUCGGGCCUCUUGCCAUCGGAUGUGCCCAGAUGGGAUUAGCUUGUUGGUGGGGUAACGGCUCACCAAGGCGACGAUCCCUAGCUGGUCUGAGAGGAUGACCAGCCACACUGGAACUGAGACACGGUCCAGACUCCUACGGGAGGCAGCAGUGGGGAAUAUUGCACAAUGGGCGCAAGCCUGAUGCAGCCAUGCCGCGUGUAUGAAGGAGGCCUUCGGGUUGUAAAGUACUUUCAGCGGGGAGGAAGGGAGUAAAGUUAAUACCUUUGCUCAUUGACGUUACCCGCAGAAGAAGCACCGGCUAACUCCGUG